UGCCACAGCCAUAUCAACCUGCAGCCCAAGAUCGGUACUCACUGAAGCUAAGCAGGGCUGAGCCUGGUUAGUACCUGGAUGGGAGACCACUAGGAAACACUAGGUUGCUGUUGGAA
ensembl:rRNA 5S_rRNA 5S ribosomal RNA